CGGGGAGUAGCGCAGCGGAAGCGCACCUGCUUUGGGUGCAGGAGGCCGGGGGUUCAAAUCCCCCCUCCCCGACCA
rnacentral:tRNA from 1 species